UAGAAGGUUCCCACUUUUUCUUUCCAGAGAAGACAGAAGUAGAGCAAAUAACAUGAGAAAGUUCUUAUUAUUCCUUCAAUGCUUGAUUUUUCUCGCACUGCUUCUCAUUCAUCCUUCAUUUGCUCCUAGGGGUGAAGCCUAAACAUCAAGAAGACUGGAAAAGGUGUAUUCCCUAAAAAUGAACAAAGUACGAUCCCCAACAAGCUUCAGAAUGUUCUUAAGGUCCAUAUUACUAAUGCUAAAAUAUGGAAUGCAUAGGAUCCAAGUAUCAAGGAACUGGCUGAAUAGAUCAGCUUGAGGAGAGAAUGGCACGCAUAAAAGGAGAUCCAUCUUUGAAGCAUAUUUUAGAUGAGAUAGAGAUUGGUGGUCCUACUGCUAUGAUGAGGUUUGGAUGGAAAAAUUUCUUAUCUUUUUGGCCAUUUUAAAAUUUCUAUCAGUUCAAUGUCUUCCAAAUUUUAAAUAGUUUCUAAAGUGUUUCAGGUUGUUUGUGCAAUUUGUAACACUGAGCAGCGGAUAAGUAUUUUCUUCCAACUUAUUUCUUGGAGAUGAACUAAGCCGAAUUUGAUGCAUAAUUCCAGCUAGGAAUUGUUAAUAUUCUUGCUUCCUCAAUGAUGUUGAAUGUUUUUUUAAUCAAUUUGCAUAUAGGAAAACAACAGUUUCAUUGCGAUGAUUGUGGAAUAUGUAGGUGUAGUUCACUUAGCUGUGUUUGAGUAUAUCCAUAUCUUAUGUCACCUGAAUUUAUGACAUACAAACUAAUUUUUUAUGAUCUAAUUUGAAAACAGGGUUGGUGGUCAAGAGAACUAUUUCCACUGCGAAAAGUGUGGGUCAUGCUAUUUAGUUACACUACGUGACAAUCAUUUGUGUGGAGAACUCCAUGGGCAUGUGCAUUACUGAAGUUGCUGUUGUUGCAAUUAUGUAGUUAUAUG